rnacentral:rRNA from 1 species
GAUGAACGCUGGCGGCGUGCCUAAUACAUGCAAGUCGAGCGAACAGACGAGGAGCUUGCUCCUCUGACGUUAGCGGCGGACGGGUGAGUAACACGUGGAUAACCUACCUAUAAGACUGGGAUAACUUCGGGAAACCGGAGCUAAUACCGGAUAAUAUAUUGAACCGCAUGGUUCAAUAGUGAAAGACGGUUUUGCUGUCACUUAUAGAUGGAUCCGCGCCGCAUUAGCUAGUUGGUAAGGUAACGGCUUACCAAGGCAACGAUGCGUAGCCGACCUGAGAGGGUGAUCGGCCACACUGGAACUGAGACACGGUCCAGACUCCUACGGGAGACAGCAGUAGGGAAUCUUCCGCAAUGGGCGAAAGCCUGACGGAGCAACGCCGCGUGAGUGAUGAAGGUCUUCGGAUCGUAAAACUCUGUUAUUAGGGAAGAACAAAUGUGUAAGUAACUAUGCACGUCUUGACGGUACCUAAUCUGAAAGCCACGGCUAACUACGUG